rnacentral:lncRNA from 13 species
AUGAGAAACGAAGCACGGAGUCUCCUCGUCCUUCACGGAUCUUGCUGUGCCUACUUACACAGGAUAAGUUUGCAGGGAUCUCUCAAAACGUUAAACCACGAGGGCAGACAUAAGCAGGAUUUCAAACCUCGACAGCUCGGGGUGGGCAGCAGAGCUCCGAUGGCGAGAGUCGCGGGGGUCCCCGGCCGCCCCUCGGUGAUCAGCAGCCGGCGAUCACCGCCGCCUCCUCCCCGCCGCCGCACUGCGGCUGCGACCCGGGGACCAGCGGGGAGGGAAACAGCACCCCCGCGGGGACAGCUCGGCCCGGGGCGGCACAAAGCGAUCCCGUGGGCCCGCCGGGCGCCCACGCCGCGGCCCCGCGCUCACAGCGCCGCCCCGCCCACCCCCGACGCGCCGCACGCACCCGCGGCCGCACGCUCGCACUCGCAGCGCGGCCCCGCACUCGCACCGUCACUGCCCCGCACUCGCACUCACAGCGCGGCCCCGCACUCACAGCGUCACUGCCCCGCACCCACAGCGCGGCCCCGCACUCGCACCGUCACUGCCCCGCACUCGCACCGUCACUGCCCCGCACUCACAGCGCGGCCCCGCACUCGCACCGUCACUGCCCCGCACCCACAGCGCGGCCCCGCACUCGCACCGUCACUGCCCCGCACUCGCACCGUCACUGCCCCGCACUCACAGCGCGGCCCCGCACUCGCACCAUCACUGCCCCGCACUCGCACUCACAGCGCGGCCCCGCACUCACAGCGCGGCCCCGCACUCGCACCGUCACUGCCCCGCACUCACAGCGUCACUGCCCCGCACUCGCACCGCGACCCCCCGGCCCCGCACUCACAGCGCCGCCGCUCCCGGCCCGCGGCCGCCGGCACCGCCCCCGGCGCUCCCCGCGCACGCACCGCUGCCGGCAGCGCUCGGUGCCCUUCGGCCCCGCGGCUCUGCGCCGGGGCGGCCAGCGGGAUUAUCCCCGCCGUUAGCCUUCUGUUCUCUCUCGGAACCCACUGUCUCCUCUCCGGGGCUACUGUAGCUUCUGGCUAA